UCCUCAGUAGUCCAACGGUCAGGACAUCUGUCUUUCACACAGAAGACCCGAGUUCGACUCUCGGCUGGGGAG